AUUACCGAUUGAGUGUAAAGGUGAACCUUCUCGAUAGACGCAAGUUUAGAAAUUAAGUAAACCUUUGCACUUAGAGGAAAUAAAAGUCGUAACAAGGUU
rnacentral:rRNA from 1 species